rfam:Schistosoma mansoni strain Puerto Rico chromosome 3, complete genome
AUCCAGCUGACGAUUUCAAAAUAGAACGAGACGCACGUCCUGAAU